rnacentral:other from 2 species
AUUCCCCUGACCGGCCCGUGAUUUCUCUCCCAGUGCUGACCGAACAAGCUUGAAUUAGGGAGCCGGAUUCUGUUUCCCCUGUGCAUGCCCGGCAUUUGACCGGGAGUCCUAAAGGAAACACACUGGAGCCCACCCUGGGAAACCGGGUUCUACAUUGGCAAGAAACACGACCAGUCGGGGGUCUG